GCUAUUGGAGGAUGGAUUGUGUUGGAGUGAGGGCUGUCCCCACAGGGUCCCUGGCUCCCUUUGGAUCCCUGCCUGCACCCCUUGGCCCCCCGGGUGCCCAGUCCCCUCCAGGGGCAGCUGCCCCGUGCAGGAAGCUGCAGGGAUGUGGGCAGGGGGGUGGAUCCGUGCCACAGCUGGGAUGGACUCUGUGCCAGGGCUGGGCUUGUGGCCAGGCCUGGGGGCUGUGCCAAGCUGGGCUUUGGCCUGGGGGCUGUCAGGGAGGGCUCAGGGAGGAGUCCCAGCAGGGAUAAAGGUGCUGCUGCCCUGCUGCAGCCUCAGCCAGCGCUGCCCAGAGCGAGAGGAAGAUGAAGGUGGCUGUGCUCAGCGUGGCCCUGCUCUUCUCCAUCCUGCUGUGCCUUCCAGCACAGAAUGAGGCGCUGCUGGAAGGAACCCAGGAUGAUCUGCAGGAGGUGAGUGGGGUGCUGGGAUUGGAGGGCAUCCCCUCAGGGAAUUUGGGGGGCAGUUGUGUCCCCCCAUCUCUCACUGGCACUGGGCCAUGUCAGUGCCCAGUGAGGUCUCCUGUUCUCUCUGCAGAUUGAUUUAGACAAUGUCGCCAUCCUGGAGACACCUCUGCCCCCAGUUGUUGAAAGGCUGGAGGCUGUUCUGCGACAGAAGCGCCUGGCUGCCUCUCUGGGUGCCUAGGAUUGCAAGUUGUGGGGACUGCAGUGUCCUGAUCCCCUCUGGUGGCAUGAGGAGAUGAUCAUCCCUGGAGGAACCCCCUGACCCCUUUGGGCCCUGGGCCGU